UCGGGAAUUUUGGGCAAUGGGGGAAACCCUGACCCAGCAACGCCGCGUGAAGGAUGAAGUAUUUCGGUAUGUAAACCUCGAAAGAAUAGGAAGAAUAAAUGACGGUACUAUUUGUAAGGUCCGGCUAACUACGUGCCAGCAGCCGCGGUAAUACGUAGGGACCAAGCGUUGUUCGGAUUUACUGGGCGUAAAGGGCGCGUAGGCGGUGUGUCAAGUCAGUUGUGAAAUCUCCGAGCUUAACUCGGAACGGUCAACUGAUACUGUCACACUAGAGUACAGAAGGGGCAAUCGGAAUUCUUGGUGUAGCGGUGAAAUGCGUAGAUAUCAAGAGGAACACCUGAGGCGAAGGCGGGUUGCUGGGCUGAUACUGACGCUGAGGCGCGAAAGCUAGGGUAGCAAACGGGAUUAGAUACCCUAGUAGUCCCUGAGCGGGCUGGCAAGGCGCAU
rnacentral:rRNA from 1 species